UUACGCUUGAAACAUUUGUAUUUUUAGGUAAGAAAUUUUGCGUUUCUCUGGAAACAAAAUGGUUGUAUUAAUGGUCUAUUAAAAAAUAGAUACGAGGAAAGGACAAAAACCGAUAAAGGUCGAUUAUACACGAUAGCAUUGCGAAGCGUACGAAACCCACCAGGAACGAGAUGAUGACAUCGCGGGGCUAUUAAAAAAAGCUCACGCUUCCUAAAUUCCGUAGAUUCGUGAGUGGCGAGUCAUGUGGCCACGCAGCGAUAUUUAGAUGUCGCGAAUAAUCGGUUGUUUUCCUACGAGGACGAUGACGGAUCUCGCGAGGGUGUCAGCGUGUAUUUUCGCCUCCGCGUUCGAACAUCGAGCACCGGCUUCGACCUCGUUCUUUUUGUUGCAUUAUUCGUAUGUGAGCGCAAGACAAAACGGGAACGAGCUAGGGAAUAGUCGUACAUCCAUCCUCAAGAUCCCAGGAACACGAUUCGGGAUUUAGUAGCUGGCCAAGCUGGCGCCGGAGCGGUGACCCGGCUCGAUGCGACCUUCCAAGGACGCAAAACACAUCCUCUUCUUUCUGCAUAUCGCGUGCAACAUUUCUUCUUCUCAAGCCUGUUUCUCUCCUGCAGCGUGGGUGCUGCAAGAUCGUAAACCACCGAUCGGGUUGCAUCACGUGACAAAAAUAGCUUUCUCCCCAAGAAGGGUCGUUCUCGAAUUAUUCGCGAAUUAUUACGACACGUUCGUUUACCAUACUAAUUAGAGCCCACUGCCGUUUUAACACGGACUCGAGGCAACAGUUGCGAUUCGUAUGGAAACGAAGUAGAAACACGCGAUGAUCGUUUAGUCGCAAUACGAUUGUCGAUGAAUUUUGGAGAAUAGAAUGUGUAAGGUAUGUACAUAUGUAUAAAAGGGGUACGAUGAUCAUCGACGAAGAUACGCAGUUCUCGAUACAGUGUGGGGUGCACACGCCGUAAAAGUCGCGUAGAUCGUACGAUCGCGCGGUGCUGGCGUGGCCGCAUUCCAGCUGGCGGAUUGGUCGAUCCCAUGCGUCAUAAAUCUACAUGAUGUUCCUGCCUUUUUCGCCCUUCGUAUAGCCCUUGGCAUACGUAACCUGCCGUGGCAACGUAUAUCGCGAUAUUUUUUUUUUUAUUUGCGAAUUCGGUCUUUUCGCCUCGUCCUUUCUUUUUUCUUCGACACGCCGCUCGACUACCCGAACAGAAUUCCACGACGUCCGAUCUCGGUUUUUCGAACUUAGAUCGGUUCCUUCGCUAUAUACGCGUUCCUGACUUUUCAAAGAUGUCGCGAGUUUGGCAAUCCUUUCCUUCUCUUUUUAAUCGUAAAAUAAGCGUGACCAUGACGUUGAAUUUUAAAGGAUUCCGGGUCGAGGAAUUCGACAGUUUCACGACCGGUUCGAUAAACUCCGCGAUGGCGACGCGUUUUUUGUCGCAAACCCGUUGCGCCAAGGCAGGGAUCACCUAAAAAGAUUUUUGUACCAGGUGCAUCCUGCGGCCGUGCAUGAGUCAUGGAUUACAUACAUCCAUGUACCUCUGUAAACCUGCAUUCUUUUCUGAACCGAAAUUCUGAUAAGUAAAGCUGUAUG